CCCGGGCACCUCGUGUGCCCCGGAUCAGGCGCCCGCCUAGGAAACUUAACUCUUGUUUUAUUUUGGAAUCUUCUGAGUAGUUUUUACAAAUAAAUAAAAACUUUCAACAACGGAUCUCUUGGUUCUGGCAUCGAUGAAGAACGCAGCGAAAUGCGAUAAGUAAUGUGAAUUGCAGAAUUCAGUGAAUCAUCGAAUCUUUGAACGCACAUUGCGCCCGCCAGUAUUCUGGCGGGCAUGCCUGUCUGAGCGUCAUUUCAACCCUCAUGCCCCUAGGGCGUGGUGUUGGGGAUCGGCCAAAGCCCGCGAGGGACGGCCGGCCCCUAAAUCUAGUGGCGGACCCGUCGUGGCCUCCUCUGCGAAGUAGUAAUAUUCCGCAUCGGACAGCGACGAGCCCCUGCCGUUAAACCCCCAACUUUCCAAGGUUGACCUCAGAUCAGGUAGGAAUACCCGCUGAACUUAAGCAUAUCAAUAAGCGGAGGA
rnacentral:misc_RNA from 1 species